GGUAAAAUCUAUUGCACCGUGGAGUCCACGGCGCUCUAGUGUCAAAAAGGGCUAUUGCGCCGUGGAUACCAGUUAGCGCUAGUGUAGUCCCGAGUCGUUAUGAAAAAUGAUUGUUUGAUUGAGGUCUCGUGGUGGAGGCCAUGGCUUCAUGAAGGUUCCACAUACUACACAGGAUGACAGGAUAACGAAAAUGUGGUUCCAAUGAACCACUGCAGCACAAAUUCAAAUCUUGUGAAGACUGAAGAGGUGGUAGCUUUUAGUCACUCCAGCACGCUGUCAAGUCAGUACUCCUUAUGAUAAUGUUGCAACAAGCCGUCUACUGUCCCCAAAAACAAGUAAGUAUUUAUCUAAUAAAUAAUAGUAAAUAUCUAAUUCAACAUAGUUAUGCUAAACAGAUGCUGCUAGUUAUUUU